rnacentral:tRNA from 1 species
CUAUAGCUCAGUUGGAUAGAGCAUCUGACUUCGGAUCAGAGGGCCGAGAGUUCGAAUCUUUCUGG